GAGUUUGAUCCUGGCUCAGAACGUACGCUGGCGGCACGCCUAACACAUGCAAGUCGAACGAAGUAGCAAUACUUAGUGGCAGACGGGUGAGUAACAUGUAGGUAUCUGCCCUUUGGCCUGGAAUAACACGAGGAAACUUGUGCUAAUACCGGAUAAGUCUUUACGGAGAAAGCUUUAUGCACCAUUGGAUGAGCCUGCACUUGAUUAGUUUGUUGGUGGGGUAAUGGCCUACCAAGACUGUGAUCAAUAGCUGAUUUGAGAGGAUGAUCAGCCACAUUGGGACUGAGACACGGCCCAAACUCCUACGGGAGGCAGCAGUGGGGAAUCUUGCACAAUGGAGGAAACUCUGAUGCAGCGAUGCCGCGUGAGUGAAGAAGGCCCUUGGGUUGUAAAGCUCUUUCGUCGGGGAAGAAAAUGACUGUACCCGAAUAAGAAGGUCCGGCUAACUUCGUGCCAGCAGCCGCGGUAAUACGAAGGGACCUAGCGUAGUUCGGAAUUACUGGGCUUAAAGAGUUCGUAGGUGGUUGAAAAAGUUAGUGGUGAAAUCCCAGAGCUUAACUCUGGAACUGCCAUUAAAACUUUUCAGCUAGAGGGUGAUAGAGGAAAGCAGAAUUUCUAGUGUAGAGGUGAAAUUCGUAGAUAUUAGAAAGAAUACCAAUUGCGAAGGCAGCUUUCUGGAUCAUUACUGACACUGAGGAACGAAAGCAUGGGUAGCGAAGAGGAUUAGAUACCCUCGUAGUCCAUGCCGUAAACGAUGUGUGUUAGACGUUGGAAAUUUAUUUUCAGUGUCGCAGGGAAACCGAUAAACACACCGCCUGGGGAGUACGACCGCAAGGUUAAAACUCAAAUGAAUUGACGGGGACCCGCACAAGUAGUGGAGCAUGUGGUUUAAUUCGAAGAUACGCGCAGAACCUUACCAACACUUGACAUGUUCGUCGCGACUCUAAGAGAUUAGAGUUUUCGGUUCGGCCGGACGAAACACAGGUGCUGCAUGGCUGUCGUCAGCUCGUGUCGUGAGAUGUUGGGUUAAGUCCCGCAACGAGCGCAACCCUCACUUUUAGUUGCCAUCAUUAAGUUGGGCACUCUGAAAGAACUGCCAGUGAUAAGCUGGAGGAAGGUGGGGAUGACGUCAAGUCCUCAUGGCCCUUACGUGUUGGGCUACACACGUGCUACAAUGGUAUCUACAACAGGAAGCAAGACUGCGAAGUUAAGCAAAUCCCUAAAAGAUACCUCAGUUCGGAUUGCACUCUGCAACUCGAGUGCAUGAAGCUGGAAUUACUAGUAAUCGUGGAUCAGCGUGCCACGGUGAAUGCGUUCCCGGGUCUUGUACACACCGCCCGUCACACCAUGGGAGUUGGUUCUACCUUAAGGCAAGGUUUCAAACCCUUGACCACGGUAUAGUCAGCGACUGGGGUGAAGUCGUAACAAGGUAACC
rnacentral:rRNA from 1 species